rnacentral:rRNA from 1 species
CCUACGGGCGGCUGCAGUGGGGAAUAUUGCACAAUGGGCGCAAGCCUGAUGCAGCCAUGCCGCGUGUGUGAAGAAGGCCUUCGGGUUGUAAAGCACUUUCAGCGGGGAGGAAGGCGGUGAGGUUAAUAACCUCAUCGAUUGACGUUACCCGCAGAAGAAGCACCGGCUAACUCCGUGCCAGCAGCCGCGGUAAUACGGAGGGUGCAAGCGUUAAUCGGAAUUACUGGGCGUAAAGCGCACGCAGGCGGUCUGUCAAGUCGGAUGUGAAAUCCCCGGGCUCAACCUGGGAACUGCAUUCGAAACUGGCAGGCUAGAGUCUUGUAGAGGGGGGUAGAAUUCCAGGUGUAGCGGUGGAAUGCGUAGAGAUCUGGAGGAAUACCGGUGGCGAAGGCGGCCCCCUGGACAAAGACUGACGCUCAGGUGCGAAAGCGUGGGGAGCAAACAGGAUUAGAUACCCCAGUAGUC